rnacentral:lncRNA from 1 species
UCCACCAUUGCUCAGAAUAGAUCAAAGAGCUUAAUAGAUAAAGAUGAAGCAGAUUUCUAAUACAUAUCAGGCUACAAUAUUAUAACACUUCUAGCAACUUGCAAUGUUAGUAUCUUUAUUUUUGUGUAAGAAAUAGCAAAAUUAUUAAACUUUCCAUCAAACUUAACCUUAAGUACUCUAGACUAUCGAGAACUUUGCCGGC